rnacentral:rRNA from 1 species
UCUUGGUCAUUUAGAGGAAGUAAAAGUCGUAACAAGGUCUCCGUUGGUGAACCAGCGGAGGGAUCAUUAUCGAGUUAUUCAACUCCCAAACCCUAUGUGAACUUACCACUUGUUGCUUCGGCGCGCGCUUCGGCGCCGCCGAGGACACUUAAACUCUUUGUUUUUAUAAGCAUUUCUGAGUGGCCGAAAGGCAAAAAUACAAAUGAAUCAAAACUUUCAACAACGGAUCUCUUGGUUCUGGCAUCGAUGAAGAACGCAGCGAAAUGCGAUAAGUAAUGUGAAUUGCAGAAUUCAGUGAAUCAUCGAAUCUUUGAACGCACAUUGCGCCCGCCAGCAUUCUGGCGGGCAUGCCUGUUCGAGCGUCAUUUCAACCCUCGAGCCCGACUCUUUUGAGGACGGCUCGGCGUUGGGGGACGGCAGACUCCCCCCGGCAUCUCGCCGGGGACGCCGCCCCCGAAAUCUAGUGGCGGCCCUCCGAGGCGACCUCUGCGUAGUAACUUGUUCUCGCACCGGAAAGCUCAGAGCGGCCACGCCGUAAAACCCCAACUUUUUUCAGGUUGACCUCGAAUCAGGUAGGACUA